CCUACGGGAGGCAGCAGUGAGGAAUAUUGGUCAAUGGACGAGAGUCUGAACCAGCCAAGUAGCGUGAAGGAUGACUGCCCUAUGGGUUGUAAACUUCUUUUAUAUGGGAAUAAAAUGUUCCACGUGUGGGAUUUUGUAUGUACCAUAUGAAUAAGGAUCGGCUAACUCCGUUCCAGCAGCCGCGGUAAUACGGAGGAUCCGAGCGUUAUCCGGAUUUAUUGGGUUUAAAGGGAGCGUAGGUGGAUUGUUAAGUCAGUUGUGAAAGUUUGCGGCUCAACCGUAAAAUUGCAGUUGAACCUUGCAGGCUUGAGUACAGUAGAGGUGGGCGGAAUUCGUGGUGUAGCGGUGAAAUGCUUAGAUAUCACGAAGAACUCCGAUUGCGAAGGCAGCUCACUGGACUGCAACUGACACUGAGGCUCGAAAGUGUGGGUAUCAAACAGGAUUAGAUACCCUUGUAGUC
rnacentral:rRNA from 1 species